rnacentral:rRNA from 1 species
AGAGUUUGAUCAUGGCUCAGGAUGAACGCUGGCGGCGUGCCUAACACAUGCAAGUUGAGCGAUUUACUUCGGUAAAGAGCGGCGGACGGGUGAGUAACGCGUGGGUAACCUGCCCUGUACACACGGAUAACAUACCGAAAGGUAUGCUAAUACGAGAUAAUAUGCUUUUAUCGCAUGGUAGAAGUAUCAAAGCUUUUGCGGUACAGGAUGGACCCGCGUCUGAUUAGCUAGUUGGUAAGGUAACGGCUUACCAAGGCGACGAUCAGUAGCCGACCUGAGAGGGUGAUCGGCCACAUUGGAACUGAGACACGGUCCAAACUCCUACGGGAGGCAGCAGUGGGGAAUAUUGCACAAUGGGCGAAAGCCUGAUGCAGCAACGCCGCGUGAGCGAUGAAGGCCUUCGGGUCGUAAAGCUCUGUCCUCAAGGAAGAUAAUGACGGUACUUGAGGAGGAAGCCCCGG